CCCAGACUCCUACGGGAGGCAGCAGUGGGGGAUAUUGCACAAUGGGGGGAACCCUGAUGCAGCGACGCCGCGUGGGUGAAGGAGCGUUUCGGCGCGUAAAGCCCUAUCGGCAGGGAAGAAGGAGGACGGUACCUGACUAAGAAGCCCCGGCUAACUACGUGCCAGCAGCCGCGGUAAUACGUAGGGGGCAAGCGUUAUCCGGAUUUACUGGGUGUAAAGGGGGCGCAGACGGCAGCGCAAGCCAGGAGUGAAAGCCCGGGGCCCAGCCCCGGGACUGCUCUUGGAACUGCGCGGCUGGAGUGCAGGAGGGGCAGGCGGAAUUCCUGGUGUAGCGGUGAAAUGCGUAGAUAUCAGGAGGAACACCGGUGGCGAAGGCGGCCUGCUGGACUGCGACUGACGUUGAGGCCCGAAAGCGUGGGGAGCAAACAGGAUUAGAUACCCCUGUA
rnacentral:rRNA from 1 species